AUCCGGUUCAUAAGCAUGAUGAUUGAUGAUUGGAUUCUCACCUGUUUGCGUGACAUGUGCCUCCUCUAAACCUUGUUACAACAUGGGCAUAUUACCCAUCUGGUG